rnacentral:ribozyme from 16 species
CUCUUUGGAUCUCACCUAAUAUGCCUCGUGCAGAUCAAACCAGAGAUGAAUGUCUGAUUUGUCUCGAAGAAAAGACUUGGAAGGAAAAGUAGAAAUGUCGAAUGCCGGGAAGGAACCGUAAUGAAAUUAAUACAUAAUUCUCGCGUGAAAAGGA